CGCCGUGAGUCUAAAGCCGGCCCUCACCAGGUGCCCUGAGCUGCGAUGCCUAUCAGUCACCGCCGCCGACCUCCUGCGACUGAGGGAGCAGCUGCCGGAGGGUCUCAAGCGCCUCAAUGUCAGAGGGCCGGAGGUGACGGAGCCGAGGUGGCCGGGAUGGUAUGGGAGUGGUCUGUCAGUAUCGCUCCAGGGGGUGGCUGCCGACACCAUCAGUCACCUGGCUGACCUGGGACGGACGGUCACACUACUGGAGAUAUACGAUUGUACUGAUCACACGGCCGGCAGCCUGGAGCCCCUCACCAGGUGCCCUGG